rnacentral:rRNA from 1 species
UACUAGAGUAGCACUCGCAUAUCAAUAAGCGGAGGAAAAGAAACUAACAAGGAUUCCCCUAGUAACGGCGAGUGAAGCGGGAAGAGCUCAAAUUUGAAAUCUUAAAGGGUUUCCCUUUACGAAUUGUAGUUUAAAGAAGUGUUUUCUGUUGAGGUUUUGGUAAAAGUUCUUUGGGAAUAGGACAUCAUAGAGGGUGAGAAUCCCGUAUUUGACCUUUACUUUCAACUUUGUGAUACACUUUCAAAGAGUCGGAUUGUUUGGGAAUGCAGUCCAAAAUGGGUGGUAAACUUUCAUCUAAAGCUAAAUAUUGGCGAGAGACCGAUAGCGAACAAGUACCGUGAGGGAAAGAUGAAAAGAACUUUGAAAAGAGAGUUAAACAGUACGUGAAAUUGUCAAAAGGGAAGCGUUUGACACCAGUGUUGUUUUUCUGAAAACCAAUUAAAGAACUGUUUAUGCUAAGUUGUUUAGACUUUAUCAGCUAACUGUUUAGUUUUGAGCUUUUCUUUAAUGCACUUUUCAGUUAACAAGUCAACAUCAAUUUCUUUUGCUGUAAAAAAGCUUGAGGAAGGUGGCUUGAGAUUCGUCUUAAGUGUUUAUAGCCUCUUGCCUAUGCAGUCGGAGAGAUUGAGGUCUGCAGCGUAGAUCCUUCGGGGCUAAAUGCAUUUGUGCUAAGUUAUAGCAUUUCAUAGACAACUUGUUGACUAUGAUUUGUCUUGUAGCUUACUCGCUUAUGUUAUUUUACCUACGCUUAGGAUGUUGAUAUCGCGCUCUCACUG